GACGAACGCUGGCGGCGUGCUUAACACAUGCAAGUCGAACGCUGAAGCUUGGUGCUUGCACUGGGUGGAUGAGUGGCGAACGGGUGAGUAAUACGUGAGUAACCUGCCCUUGACUCUGGGAUAAGCCUGGGAAACUGGGUCUAAUACUGGAUACGACAUGUCACCGCAUGGUGGUGUGUGGAAAGGGUUUUACUGAUUUUGGAUGGGCUCACGGCCUAUCAGCUUGUUGGUGGGGUAAUGGCUCACCAAGGCGACGACGGGUAGCCGGCCUGAGAGGGUGACCGGCCACACUGGGACUGAGACACGGCCCAGACUCCUACGGGAGGCAGCAGUGGGGAAUAUUGCACAAUGGGCGAAAGCCUGAUGCAGCGACGCCGCGUGAGGGAUGACGGCCUUCGGGUUGUAAACCUCUUUCAGCACGGAAGAAGCGAAAGUGACGGUACGUGCAGAAGAAGCGCCGGCUAACUACGUG
rnacentral:rRNA from 1 species